rnacentral:rRNA from 1 species
CCCCUAGAUGUUCUGGGCCGCACGCGCGCUACACUGAACAGUUCAACAAGUCUUAACCUUGGCCGAUAGGUCUGGGUAAUCUUUGAACGCUGUUCGUGAUUGGGAUAGACCUUUGCAAUUAUGGGUCUUCAACGAGGAAUUCUUAGUAAACGCAAGUCAUCAGCUUGCAUUGAUUACGUCCCUGCCCUUUGUACACACCGCCCGUCGCACCUACCGAUUGAAUGGUCCGGUGAAAUCUCGGGACGGCGGCUUGGUCGCUUGCGUCCGACUGCUGAAACUUGAUUAAACCAUAUCAUUUAGAGGAAGGUGAANUCGUANCA